rnacentral:rRNA from 1 species
UCUAGAGAUAGAGUGGAGGUUAUCCGGGAGUACAGGUGGUGCAUGGUUGUCGUCAGCUCGUGUCGUGAGAUGUUGGGUUAAGUCCCGCAACGAGCGCAACCCUUGUCUUUAGUUACCAUCAUUCAGUUGGGCACUCUAGCGAGACUGCCGGUAAUAAACCGGAGGAAGGUGGGGAUGACGUCAAAUCAUCAUGCCCCUUAUGACCUGGGCUACACACGUGCUACAGUGGUUGGUACAACGAGUUGCGAGUCGGUGACGGCGAGCUAAUCUCUUAAAGCCAAUCUCAGUUCGGAUUGUAGGCUGCAACUCGCCUACAUGAAGUCGGAAUCGCUAGUAAUCGCGGAUCAGCACGCCGCGGUGAAUACGUUCCCGGGCCUU